UUAUCAGACUUGUUACAAGGUUGUUCUAACAAGCCUGAUACAAUCAUGAUAUAACAAGUAUGUUACAAGUUUGUAACAAUAUUGUUAUGUCAUAACUGUAUCGGAUUUGUUGGAACAACCUUGCAACAAGUCUGAUAA